GUUCCAUCACGGUUUCUCAGUGGCCCAGAGAGGUGGCAGUAACAGGAAGUCAUCAGAGGACCAUGAUCCUUUAAGCUCUUAAUGGUCAAGCCACAGCAUGAACCGAAACCCAGAAAUUUUUCCCAGGAGGGUGCCAUCAUAUUUACAGGAACCAUAGAUGUACAACUUCCAUUUGGCAAGAACCACUUAGAAUCCAGUCGAAUUCAACAGGAGUGCUGAACCUGGAAUCAGAAUACCCAAGUUUGAUUCUGCCUCUGAAGUCUUCUACUGUGACUUUAAGUAAGUCAUGAAAACUCAGUGAGUUUCAAUGGCCCCAUCUGCAAAAAUUCGU